rnacentral:rRNA from 1 species
AUUGAACGCUGGCGGCAUGCCUUACACAUGCAAGUCGAACGGCAGCGCGGGAGCAAUCCUGGCGGCGAGUGGCGAACGGGUGAGUAAUAUAUCGGAACGUGCCCAGUAGUGGGGGAUAGCCCGGCGAAAGCCGGAUUAAUACCGCAUACGACCUGAGGGUGAAAGGGGGGGAUCGCAAGACCUCUCGCUAUUGGAGCGGCCGAUAUCAGAUUAGGUAGUUGGUGGGGUAAAGGCCUACCAAGCCUGCGAUCUGUAGUUGGUCUGAGAGGACGACCAGCCACACUGGGACUGAGACACGGCCCAGACUCCUACGGGAGGCAGCAGUGGGGAAUUUUGGACAAUGGGCGCAAGCCUGAUCCAGCAAUGCCGCGUGCAGGAAGAGGGCCUUCGGGUUGUAAACUGCUUUUGUCAGGGAAGAAAUCCUCUAGGCUAAUACCUUGGGGGGAUGACGGUACCUGAAGAAUAAGCACCGGCUAACUACGUGCCAGCAGCCGCAGUAAGAC